GGAAUAUUGGACAAUGGGCGAAAGCCUGAUCCAGCCAUGCCGCGUGUGUGAAGAAGGCCUUUUGGUUGUAAAGCACUUUAAGCGAGGAGGAGGCUACUUGGAUUAAUACUCUAGGAUAGUGGACGUUACUCGCAGAAUAAGCACCGGCUAACUCUGUGCCAGCAGCCGCGGUAAUACAGAGGGUGCGAGCGUUAAUCGGAUUUACUGGGCGUAAAGCGUGCGUAGGCGGCUUCUUAAGUCGGAUGUGAAAUCCCUGAGCUUAACUUAGGAAUUGCAUUCGAUACUGGGAAGCUAGAGUAUGGGAGAGGAUGGUAGAAUUCCAGGUGUAGCGGUGAAAUGCGUAGAGAUCUGGAGGAAUACCGAUGGCGAAGGCAGCCAUCUGGCCUAAUACUGACGCUGAGGUACGAAAGCAUGGGGAGCAAACA
rnacentral:rRNA from 1 species